rnacentral:ribozyme from 1 species
UUAACUAUAAUAAUCAUAAACCGAGGCUGCCUGAUCCGAGACUCCUAUUGGGCUCCCAAAGGCUCUCCUACCCAACUUUUAUUCCGUCAUGUCCUCGUUGUGCAGAGUGGUAAUUUGCCUCACCGUAUAUCCAAGCUUGGGUAUACGGGUUAUUUCCAACACCUUGGGCAGAUGGUGGAGCAUGGCUAAACAGGAUGAG